GACGAACGCUGGCGGCGUGCUUAACACAUGCAAGUCGAACGGAAAGGCCCUGCUUUUGUGGGGUGCUCGAGUGGCGAACGGGUGAGUAACACGUGAGUAACCUGCCCUUGACUUUGGGAUAACUUCAGGAAACUGGGGCUAAUACCGGAUAGGAGCUCCUGCUGCAUGGUGGGGGUUGGAAAGUUUCGGCGGUUGGGGAUGGACUCGCGGCUUAUCAGCUUCUUGGUGGGGUAGUGGCUUACCAAGGCUUUGACGGGUAGCCGGCCUGAGAGGGUGACCGGCCACAUUGGGACUGAGAUACGGCCCAGACUCCUACGGGAGGCAGCAGUGGGGAAUAUUGCACAAUGGGCGGAAGCCUGAUGCAGCAACGCCGCGUGCGGGAUGACGGCCAUCGGGUUGUAAACCGCUUUCGCCUGUGACGAAGCGUGAGUGACGGUAAUGGGUAAAGAAGCACCGGCUAACUACGUG
rnacentral:rRNA from 1 species